UUGCAUCGCAAUAUUGCUGCAGGUUUUAUUUUGCGCACUGAACAACUAUGGCGUCGAACAGUGACGGGGUAGCUACCUUGCUAAAAAGGUUUGCGUCUCGGGUUCUGUGUACCAAGAGAGAAGAACGAUGUCAAAUUUUGUCGGAAGUUCGGGACGGAGUGUCUAUGGGAGCUGUGCCAGAAGGUGCUGUGAAGGGGAUAUGCCGCAUUCUGAUUCAGACAAUCCCAGUAUAUAAAGACCGGGCAUCACGAAAAGCGGUCCUUUCAGUUAUUGCUGCUUUGGGCGAGAAACACAGAGAUGCCAGCAUAAAGUCACUGACAGACAUCAUCAGCUCAUUUACAGUGGGACUAAAGAGUGUCUCAUGUGGGAGAGGAACAGGGGCUCAUCCUUAUGUGAUGCUAUGUUGGACAUGUACACUGUUCAGGCAAGCCUUCACAUCUAGCCAACAACGAUCUGGUAAUGAGUGGAAACAGUUGGUGGAUGCCCAAGGAAAUUUGGUGUCAGCUAUCCUAGCCUGUUCAAGGAAGUCUAUUCAUGCUUGUGGGUAUGCCAAGAUGAAGAGUACAUGGAAAGAAGUUGAAGGUCUAUGGGAGAGUUCAUUGGACACAGCAAUGCAGCUAGAAGGAUCAAGCCACGCCCUCUGUCUGAUUGGAUGGUUGCUAAGAUACGCUACAGAGACGAAGAACACAGAGGCCAUAGCCAAUAAGAAGAAAGCUCUCUUAGACUCUUACAUCAAGAAGAUCUUGGGUGGAAAGGCCAAACCGUCAGAACACAGCCUGGAUGUUAGUAAGUGGUUGCUACAGCACCUCACCCAUCCUGAGUUUGAAGGUCACAUCUUACCAGCCAUAAACAAAGGAAUGCUGAGAUGCCCAGAAAAUGUUGUUCAAGCUGUGAGCUACACCAUCGCUGGAGUGUCUUUGGACCUGAGUCAAUACGUCACAGAGUUGGGCAAAAACAUUGCAACUCAACUCCAUGCGAAAGAUGAAACUCUUCGCCAGGAAGCAGUAUCGGCAGCCGAGAAUCUUGCAUUGCAGUGUAGUGAUCCCACUGCCAUUGAAAGUCUUGCUAAACACUUCUUUACUGUAUUAGGAGGAUCCGAAGGCAAGCUGACGGUGGUAGCAGAGAGGAUUGGGGUUCUGUCAGCGAUAGGGGGUCUUAGUGUGAAUGGGGUCAGUGGAAUGAAUUCUGUUCAGGGCCUGGUCUCAUCCAUCCUGACACUCUUCAUACCUUACCUGCAACAAGAGGCCCAUGAAGGAGCGAUGGUUCAUGGUUUGGCCGUGCUAUCCAGAUGGUGCUCCAUGUCCUCUACAGAACUUCCUGCCAAGCUGAUCCAGUGGUUCCAGAAGGCCAUGACUCAGAAGCAGUCAACGGCCGCUACCAGGAAUGGAUGCAUCGGGGUGAUGCUGAAGUCCCUCAAGGGAGACACCUUGAUUCAUGGAUUGGAGAUCAUCCCUCAACUGAAAUCAUCAGUAGAGAAAGCUCAACAGCAGCCUAACCAAGUUGCUAUGGUAACAGAAGGUCUGUCAGCUGCAUGCCUACUGGUGAGGUUGUCUACAUCUGAUGUACAAGCAGAAAAUAAAGUGAGCUUUCUUUGGCCUGUUAUUCUUGAUGAGAAGAAACAGCUGUUUACAUCAGAGAAGUUCCUUUCAGUUGCAGGAGAAGACGCCCUCCUGACCCUAGUUGAGAUGACUGAAAGGCUGCUGACAGAUCAUGCGCAGUUGUUCAAGACAGGAGCAGAAAGGUUAUACCACAGAGCUCUAGUGACAUGUCUUAUCCAUUCCAAAUGGCGGGUGAGGAAAGCUGCCAAACAGACAAUCAGAAAACUUCUCUCCACUCCCUCAUUAGCCAUCAAACUUUCUCUCAAACUCCUUCAGGAAUUCAGACCUCUGCUUGCUGCACAGAAGCCAUUAGAAAGCUAUUCAGAGAGUGCUACAGCUGAUGACACAGGGAGGGUGAGACCAGAGGUGCUAGUCUCCUGUGUCCAGUCUCUUGUACCGGAUACCAAAGAGGAAGAUGAGAUUCCUUCAUCAGAGAUGAUAGAUCUAGCUGUCAACUCUCUUCUUAUUGACGCACAUCAUCCAAUCAUAGCUGCAGCUAAGCCUUCCCUAUGGGGUGAUCUCGUCUCUGGUCUCAUUCCUGAUCUAUCUUCAUUCAUAUCAGAAUGCCAAGGGGAUAUCUUGUCUCUUUUAAUGGAAAAGGAGAAAGCUUCUGAGGCCGCCCAGAAUGCCAUGAAGAGUUUAGCCUUCAUUGCUCCACAACACAUACUACCUCCUUUCAUCAAUCAAUUCGUCAGUUGUCUUGGCAACCCAGGAUUUGUGGGUAUCACGUUGGAGGAGUUUGCCAUUUAUCGGACACCAGAGGGUGUCCUCUACGAUCAGUCAGUGAUUGAAAAGAAUGCUGAGAAGCUUGACAAAGGUUCCAUGAAACGAGAGAACAAGGCAUACUCCUACAAGGAACAACUCAUGGAGAUUGAACUCAGAGAGGAGAUUGAGAGAGAGCGAGCCAAGAAGGGUAUCAAGACAGAAGUCAAACUGACCAAAAAGCAGGAAGAGGCCAAGAAACUACAGCUAGCCAAGGAGAGGGAUAUCAGGAAGAAACUACAGGAGCUGAAUGACGAGAUUGAGCCUGCAGCCAAGCUCCUAGUGGCUGCCAUCAAAGGCAACCCUUAUGGCCUGAGGAAACACAUUCCUACUCUCAUCAAUAACCUCUUCACGCUCUCAGAUUCACCCAUCGCUUCCCGGUACCUGGCUGAGGUCUACCUAGCCCUUGCUGAUUGUGCCUUUGAGGCUGACCAGAGAACUCUAGGUGACAUAGUCUCAUACUGCACUCUGCGCCUGAGCAAACCAGCUUGCUCCAUCCCUGACAAGUGGUGUCAGAUGAAGCUCUCAUCCAUGGUGACCGUCACCAUCCAAAAACUCCAUGGUGGGAGGGAUGACAUUGAGCAGGAUGGAGAUGAUGAUGAUGAUGACUACCUCCUGACAAGCUCUGCUACUGUGUUCCCGGCACCCUCGUUUGCAUAUUUCUUCCGCCUACUCCACCAGGUUCUGUAUGACGGUGGAACGGUCGUGAAGAAGGAUGAGAAGAUAGUAGAGAAGGCGCUGUCUAUUCUCUCAUCUCAUUGCAAUCUGAAGAGUGAUAUGGAUGAUGAAAGCGAUGAAAUUGAUGAGAGAGGACCAGAGCUUCUACCACGCCACAAGAUGCUAUCCCUCCUCUUCCGACUGAUCGGUAUCGGAGGGGUCCAACAGCAGAGGGUUGCUUCCGAUGCGGUGGUGGAGCUAUGCCGUAGUGCCAGUGGAGAUAUGGGAUGUGCCGUGGCGGAAACCGAUGAGAUUGAUGUCAUUCUCCAAGCCAUGACCAGCCCUGUGCUGGAAGUCAGGGUAGCUGCUCUCAAGGGCCUUCGAGAGCUGCUGCUGAUCCUCCCACCUCAGGAUUCGGAAGAACCUCAGGGGAUGAGAAUUGCUCAGAGGAUCUGGUGUGCUAGGAAAGAUUUUGAGAUCGAAGUGCGGACGUUAGCAGACGAAGUUUGGACAGAUGGUAACUUCACUGGUUCUCCGGAGCUGUGUACAAUGCUUCUUGAUGAUGUCAUCCACGAUGUAGCUGUCAUCAGACAGAGCAGUGCUGCUGCUCUCUCCGCCAUCUUGGCCGAGAAUCCUGAUGAAUUGGAUAAGGUCAUGGAUGUCCUUUUCAAGAAAUAUCAAGAAAAACUUGUGAUUCCUCCCCCAGUCUUGGACACCCUUGGCAGGGUUAUCGCUGAGUCUCCACCAGACCAGUACGAGGCACGCUGCGGCAUUGCCAUGGCCCUAUCGGAGAUUGCCCCUCACCUGCUGAUGCGUCAUGUUCCAGAGCUCUUCAGGUUUCUGGUGCCCAAAGGCCUAGGGGAUCGUAACGCCGAGGUCCAGAAAGAGAUGCUCAAUGCUGGCAUGGCGGCCAUCAUCCAACAAGGAAAGCCAAACGUUGGGACACUUCUUCCUGUCUUUGAGAAGUUCAUGGAUGAAGCACCAGACUCGUCAUCUUAUGACACUGUCCGACAGAGCGUCAUUAUUCUCAUGGGAUCUCUAGCCCGCCAUCUUGAGAAAGAUGACCCCAAAGUCAAACCCAUUGUCGGAAAACUGAUUGAAGCGCUAAGCACACCUUCACAGCCGGUCCAAGAAGCAGUAGCCAACUGUCUUCCACCCUUAGUCCCAGCCAUUAAGACCGAUGCACCAGGAAUUGUCCAAGAACUAUUGCGUCUACUGCUAGAAUCUGAGAACUACGGUGAGAGGAAGGGUGCAGCGUAUGGCCUGGCUGGCAUGGUGAAGGGACUAGGUAUCUUGUCUCUGAAGCAGCUUGAGAUCAUGUCAACGUUGCAGAGUGCCAUCCAGGAUAAGAAGAACUUCAGGAAGAGAGAAGGAGCCUUAUUUGCCUUUGAGAUGUUAUGUAGCAUGCUUGGUCGUCUCUUUGAACCUUAUGUUGUUCAUGUUAUCCCUCAUCUACUUCUCUGCUUUGGGGAUGGUAACGCGUAUGUCAGGGAAGCUACCGAUGAUACAUCCAGAGCUGUGAUGAGCAAACUGAGCGGGCAUGGUGUUAAACUAGUCCUACCAUCACUCCUUGCAGCAUUAGAAGAAGAUUCCUGGAGAACUAAAGCAGGAUCCGUUGAGCUCCUUGGUAACAUGGCAUACUGUGCUCCGAAGCAGCUCUCAUCGUGUCUACCAAGCAUUGUCCCCAAGCUUACUGAGGUCUUGACAGACUCACAUGCUAAGGUCCAGAAGACUGGAGCCCAGGCUCUCAAACAAAUCGGCAGCGUCAUUCGCAAUCCUGAGAUUCAGGCUAUUGUACCAAACCUUCUUGAGGCACUGUCUGACCCAUCCCGUCAAACGGCCAGCUGUCUCAAGACUCUCCUGGACACCAAGUUUGUCCACUUCAUCGAUGCACCAUCACUUGCUCUCAUCAUGCCAGUAGUUCAAAGGUCAUUCCAGGACAGGUCAACGGAGACCAAGAAGAUGGCAUGCCAGAUCAUUGGGAAUAUGUACUCCCUGACUGACCAAAAGGACCUUGCUCCGUACCUUCCCUCAGUGAUGCCCGGGCUGAAGUCUUCUCUGCUUGAUCCUGUACCUGAAGUGAGGAGGGUUUCGGCCAGAGCCCUGGGGGCCAUGGUCAAAGGGAUGGGUGAAAGUAGUUUUGAUGAUCUGCUGCCUUGGUUGAUGGAGAAGCUCACCUCGGAACAGAACUCUGUGGAUCGGUCAGGAGCAGCACAGGGUCUCAGUGAAGUAAUAGCAGGAAUGGGCCUCCAGAAACUAGAGAAGUUCAUGCCUGACCUUGUCAAGACUGCAGAAGCUCCUGACAUAGCAUCACACAUCAGGGAUGGUUACAUCAUGAUGUUCAUCUAUCUUCCUGGAACGUUUGGAGACAAGUUUGCUCCCUUCGUUGGACCCAUCAUCUCACCCCUUCUCAUGGCCUUGGCCGAUGAAAGCGAGUAUGUCCGAGAUACUGCCCUUCGUGCCGGUCAGCGCAUCAUCAACCUCUAUGCCGAGACGGCCGUCAACGUCUUCCUCCCGGAGCUGGAGAAAGGUUUGUUUGAUGAUAACUGGAGGAUAAGAUACAGUUCCGUUCAGCUUCUGGGUGAUCUGCUCUACCGAAUCUCUGGUGUCACUGGCAAGAUGACAACUGUUGGUGAUGAAGAUGAUAACUUUGGCACAGAACAUUCCACUAAGGCUAUCAUCAACAUCCUUGGAGCAGAGAGGAGGAACCGUGUCCUGGCUGGUCUCUACAUGGGACGAUCGGACACGGCCCUCAUGGUCCGCCAAGCAGCUCUUCACGUCUGGAAGGUGGUGGUCGUCAAUACCCCAAGAACUCUCAAAGACAUCCUUUCGACCCUCUUCACCCUUCUUCUAGGAUGUCUGGCCAGCACCAGCUAUGACAAGAGACAGGUUGCCGCACGGACGUUGGGUGAUCUAGUCCGCAAGCUAGGUGACCGUGUCUUGCCAGAGAUGAUCCCAGUCUUAGAGAAGGGUCUGGACUCGACGCAGAGUGACCAGAGACAAGGUGUCUGUAUUGGUUUGAGUGAAAUCAUCAGCUCUACAAGCAGAGAACAGGUUCUGACAUAUGUUGAGAGUCUGGUGACAACAGUGAAGAGAGCAUUGUGUGAUCCGUUGCUUGAAGUCAGAGAGGCUGCUGCAAGGACAUUUGACAGUCUUCAUAGUUCUAUUGGUCACAAGGCUCUUGAAGAGAUAUUACCGGAACUUCUCUCAAAGUUGACUGAUGAGGAGAAAGGGGAGUUUGCAUUGGAUGGGCUCAAACAGGUCAUGGCAGUCAAGAAUAGAGUUGUCCUACCAUUCCUUAUACCAAAAUUGAUCCAGCCUCCAGUAAACACCGGUGUCCUGGCCAUCCUAUCAGAGGUUGCUGGAGAUUCACUCACCAAACACCUAGCCAAGAUCCUCAAUGCUCUCAUGUCGGCUGUGGAGGAUUGCAUAGGAACAGACAGAGAACAAGAGGCUCUGAAGCACUGCCAGACUGUGGUCCUCUCAGUGCAGGACCAUCAAGGUCAACAGACCAUCAUAGAUGAACUCCUCCAGAAGCUCAAGGGAGACAAUGCAGGACUGCGGCUGGCUUCGUCCACCCUGCUUCAGGUCUACUGCAGCAAGACCAGCUGCAGCUACGCAGAUUAUGUACCUCAACUACAGAGGGCGCUCAUCCAGUCGUUCAACGAUCCUGAAACCAGGGUGUUGGAGAUGAGCUGGGAGGCCCUCAAUGCUGUGACAAAGAGCUUGAGUGCAGCAGAGCAGAUGGGUCAUAUUGGAUCUGUACGUCUUGCUGUGCGGUACGCUGCUGAGGAUUGCAAACAGGAUGAACUACCUGGCUUCUGCCUUCCAAAGAAGGGUAUCACCCCAGUCCUUCCAUACUUCCGUGAAGGCAUCCUCUCAGGGUCACCGGAGGUCAAGGAGCAAGCCGCCCUGGGGUUAGGUGAGGUCAUUCAACGGACCAGCAUCACAGCCCUCAAACCUCAGGUAGUAGCCAUCACUGGACCUCUGAUCCGUGUCCUGGGUGACCGCUUCGCUUGGAACGUCAAGGUGGCCAUCCUACAGACCUUAGGGCUGCUCAUCGCUAAAGUUGGUGUGCUACUGAAAGCUUUCCUGCCACAGCUUCAAACCACGUUCAUCCGAGGCUUGACCGAUGCUAACAGGGCGGUCAGGUUAGAAGCAGCAGCAGCCCUCGGGAAGCUGGUGGUCAUACAUGCCAAGGUGGAUCCUCUUUUCACAGAGCUUCAUAAUGGCAUCAAGAAUACUGACAAUGAUACAGGUGUUAGGGAGACAAUGCUACAAGCUUUAAGAGGGGCAAUUACGGGUGCUGGGACCAAGAUUGGUGAUACUAACAAGAAAGCUCUCCUGACAACUCUCAUCAGUAAUCUUUCAUCAUCAGAGAAUAAUAUUAGGAUAUCAUCAGCAGGGUGUUUAGGGGCAUUGUGUAAAUUCUUUAGUGAUGAAGAUCUUGAAGACAUCCUCAACAGUAGACUACUCGUAAAUGAACCGAAUCAGAACUGGAUGCUGCAUCAUAGUUGCGCCCUCGCUCUGUCAGUCAUGCUCAGAGACACACCAGAGAGAGUGACGGGUGAUGGUAGAUCGGCAAAGGUUCUUGAUGUCAUGAUCAAGAAUUCAUUGAAUGACAGGAUACCUGUUUGUGUAGCUGGUGUUCGAGGUAUGGGCUUCUAUCUAAAACACUGUGUUGCGACUGGUGUACAGGUCCCGCAGUCCCUCAUCUCUGCUAUGGUCAAGUGUUUCAACCACUCAUCCAAUGAUGUCAAAAUGGCCAUUGCUCAGAUGAUCUGCCAUGUUGCCAUGACAACAGAAUCACCUCUGGACAUGUCAAUCGUACGAGGGAUACUGGUAGUCUUGGUCAGCAAUACGAAAGACAAGAACACGGCCGUACAGGCUGACAGCGAAUGGGCGUUGGUUGCACUUCUUAGGCUAAAACAUGGAGAUGAAUUUUUACAGGAGGUGAUGAAAACCCUUGACUCAGUCCCAGCUUCCAACCUCAAUGAUUGCCUCAAGAGAUUACGGAAAGUUGCGGCACAGAACUUCCCAAAAAUAGAUAUCGAUGAAACUGUCUUGCGCUGAUAUUUUCCAAGAUGGUAGUCUUACAUUUUAUCAGGACGUUAUUUAGUUUCUUUUUUAAUUCUUCGUUUGGAAGGACUGAAUUGACAGUGGAGUACUGCUGUUCAUGGCCAAUAUCAGUAUGAUAUCCUUAGGAUAUUUUCAUGACUGGUGAACAUGUACUAGAUAGACUGUCUGUCCUAUACUUUCAUAUAAUUCUUGUCCUGCUGCUAUUCAUUUCUCACAUAUGGAAUAGACUUGAUGAGAAAUAUAGGACAGCAUAGCUUGUUAGGGGAUGAUAACAUGCCCACUUCGGAGCAUUCAGAUUGUUCCGAUGCUGUUCCAAAGUAAUGUUUGAAAGUUGUUUUUCAUCUGGACAUUGCCCACAAAGAGAAGGCUCGAUAGAGUUCCCCCAAUCAUUGUAAAAUUUGACUUUUGUGCUUUAAAAGGGAAAAUUACACCAAAAUUGUGUUCAGGGGCCUGUUGCAUAAAUCCUAGCAUGAUUGGUAACAAGAGCAUUUGCAGAUAAAAUGCAUUUGAAUUAGAAUUUGAAAACUACAGACUUGAAAUGAGUCACAUAACCGAUAUACAUCAUCAGCAUUUAAAGAUUGUGUAUUACAACAAAUCACAGGGUCUGAUUAUGGACAGCCAAGCUUCUGGAAAAUUGAUGAUAUUUUGACAAAGGUUUUCUUCUUCUCACCAUUUUUAAUCAAUUUAUCUUGUUAACCAGUUUUUGCCACAUAAAAAUAAAUCAAGAGUUGUAUGGUGCAAUUGUCAAUGAGAAUAUUUGUGAUAUAUUUUUAUGUGUUUCAAUUCAACCAGGAUCAAUCAUGGAUCGUCAUGUUUAGCUCAAUAUUUUGGGAAAUAUUCUUCAUUUUUGUGUACAAAUAUUACAAUUUUAUGGGAAAUGUUUCAAAAUAGAAUUGAAAUAUUUCAUAAGUUGGACGCAUCAGAAAGUAAUAGAUAAUGUGCUCGAAAUUAAUUUAGUCUUUUGUCUUUUAAUCAUGAUGUUUCUUAUUUUUGCCCCCAAAUCAUUAACAUUGUUGGUUAAUGACAAUAGUCUUAUUCUUCUUGCAUGUUAAUGGGAUCUAUUUGCAAAGUAUUUUAAGACACCAACAUUUGUGUAAAAGCAAAUGUGAUUUCAAACAUGUUCCACUGACUCUGUUUUGUUUCAAGUUGGCUAAAAUGUAAUGACAGAAAUCAAUAACAUACAUUUAGAUCUGUAUUUGAUUUGGGCUUGGAACACACACAAAAAUAUAGCCUUUUACAUAUUUGAUGUAAAUUUCCUUGGCUGAAAACAAGA
rnacentral:misc_RNA from 1 species